GACGGCCAUAGUAGCAUGGAAACACCUGUUCCCAUUCCGAACACAGAAGUUAAGCAUGCUA
rnacentral:rRNA from 1 species